CAAUUGGUUUGUUUUUCGAAGGUGGGUGGGUGGCCAUUUUUGCCGUACCAAGAGGUGGCGCCCGAAAUUCAAGUUCGAAAUUUUGCCUGUUUUGAGGAUUUUGCAAAAGAGGGACCCAUUUUAUUUUGGAAACCCUGGGCCAAUUUGGAUGGCAGAUGAAGUUUGAACUGUAAGUGAGGUUGGUAUUUUCGUGGUGAUGGUUGUGGAUUGGGGUUAUUUAUGUACGAUGCAUGCGUUUGCACUUACGAUUCUGACCCACAACUAUUAUCUCCCAAUUCCGGAUUCGGUGUUUAGUCGCUCAUCUAUCUGACCCGUCUUGAAACACGGACCAAGGAGUUUAAGGUGUACGCAAGUCAUUGGCGGUUGAAAGUCAAAGGCGUAAUGAAAGUGGGACACUUGGUGUCUGUGAUGUGAGUUGGUUUUGUUUCGAUGAGGCCAACGCAACAUCGACCCAUGACUAGGACUUGUUCUGUUGUGGAGUCUGAGCGUACGCUUUGAGACCCGAAAGAUGGUGAACUAUGCCUGAACAGGACGAA
rnacentral:rRNA from 1 species